GUCACGAGGAGGGAAAGCAAUUGAGUUGGAUCUCGAGGCAGAAUUCUCAAAUUUAGCACUAGAUAUUAUAGGACUUGGUGUUUUCAAUUAUGACUUCGGUUCCAUCAAUAAAGAGUCUCCAGUUAUUCAGGUCUGACUAUGUAACUGUAUUUGUUGGUGCUUGGUGUUUUCAAUUAUGACUUUGGCUCCAUCACUAAAGAGUCUCCAGUUAUUCAGGUCUGACUGUGUAACUGUAUUUGUUGGUUUUAUGAAGAUGCUACCUUUACUUUCUCAAUAUGCUGAAGCACUAAGAAUAUUACUAUCA
rnacentral:lncRNA from 1 species